CGAUAGGUGGCGAAACAGGUAAACGCAUCACAAUUAAAAUGUGACAAUGAAAAUUCUGAGGGUUCGAUUCCCUUCCUAUCUG
rnacentral:tRNA from 1 species